rnacentral:rRNA from 1 species
GACGAACGCUGGCGGCGUGCUUAACACAUGCAAGUCGAGCGAUGAAACACCUUCGGGUGUGAAUUAGCGGCGAACGGGUGAGGAACACGUGAAGAAUCUGCCUUCAACUCUGGGAUAACUCCGGGAAACCGGGGCUAAUACCGGAUAUGAGCCUUGAUCGCAUGAUCGGGGCUGGAAAGUUUUUCGGUUGAAGAUGACUUCGCGGCCUAUCAGCUUGUUGGUGAGGUAAUGGCUCACCAAGGCGACGACGGGUAGCCGGCCUGAGAGGGCGACCGGCCACACUGGGACUGAGACACGGCCCAGACUCCUACGGGAGGCAGCAGUGGGGAAUAUUGGGCAAUGGAGGAAACUCUGACCCAGCGACGCCGCGUGAGGGAUGAAGGCCUUCGGGUUGUAAACCUCUUUCAGUAGGGAAGAAGCGAAAGUGACGGUACCUACAGAAGAAGCA